UUUGCUCUUUUCCAUUCUAUGCCAGUCAGUGGUUUUAACCUUGAAAAUAACAGUAGCUGUCUUCAGUGGGAAAAUCCAGGGCUAUUUUGACCCCCCAGAAUAAUUUAGGAUGACUGAGGGAACCCAAAGUAAGUGUCAAAUGUAAUUCAAGGUUACUGUGCCUUAAGAAGUGAUCCGCUGAGUUCUAGCAGGGUGUAAGAGCUAUUUGGAUUAACUAUUUUGACUCUUUUCCACAUUCUCUAAGAGGCAUGAUCUCAGGCAGCAACAGAAAUUGUCUCUAGGGGACAGGGAGGUGUCACACUUGAGAAAUAACUAUAGUAUUUCUUCAGCCUGGCUUUGGACCUGCAUUUCUCAACACAUUUUCCUGAAACCUUCACCUGGGUGUGACCCUGGAAGAUGACAGGAAGGCCAUCUUAAAGUAUGUGUAACCUUUUUUAAGAAAUUAGUUUUGAAAAAAGUAGACUCUUUUUCUUGAAGCCCUUGCCAAAAAUGUAUAAAUUAUUGAAUGGGAAAAUUUCAGUAAGACACAAUUAUUACCAUGGCUGCUGAGGAUUAAGAAGGACGUAAAUUACAUCUCUCUGUACAGAGAUAUAGUGAGGCCUCUGGUAAAGUGACACCUACCUCUGGAAAUCAGACUCAUUUUCAAGACAUAAAAACCUAGGUCAUAAUAGGAGUGACCCUGUUCAUAUGAAUCCUAAAUCUUCUGAAUGGGGGGAGAAUUUUGAAAUCCUUGUCUUUGACCUCUAGCAACAUAUCCCAAAGACCUUAUGAGUUUCAGGAAAGCUUUAUUUUCUUCUUCCUUCUUAAUUUUCUCUCCCAAUUCUAAGAUACUCUCUGGACAGUCUGUUUUAGAGGUCUUUCAAGGAAAGCAAAACUUGGUUUGUCUGCCUGUUAACUGCUGCAAAGUGUGUCGAUUCCNNNNNNNNNNNNNNNNNNNNNNNCUGCUGUUCAGUGUUAGGACUCAAAAGUCCUAAGGAAACACCUAGUAUUGUCAUUAUCUGGAAAAAAGAAGCCCCUAGAUUGGAUUAAGUGAGGUUACUGUGCCCUUAAGAAAUGCCGGUAUUAGGCAGUAAUGAAGGAAUGGCAGCAGGCAUGAAUGCUCUCUUUCAUCAGACCAGCUUCUCCCCCCCCUUUUUUUCUGUAGGAGGAAGAUACGGAGUGAGCGAAGAGCUCUGAUCUGUUUGGGGAAAAAGUAUCACAGCCUAUUAGUUAGAAGCGAUGAAAUUGAGACCGCUUCAGGGACUCCAUUACGCGGGUGGUGUUUAGGCAGACCGUGUCCCUGGGUGCAGGGCGCUGUUGCGGAGGAGAGGGUGCAAUGAAAUAAUUGGACUUGGGAAAUCAGCUGGGCUUCAGCGGCCUCCUAUCUCCUGGUGGGGAGUGGGGGAGGGAGAUACAUUUUCUUCCUCCCCCUCCCUAAUGCCUCCUUUCUUUUAGCAUAAAAGCUCUACCGAAUAAAAUAGCAGGGAAUUUCUUGCUGAGUACAUAGACUGCCAAUAUAUUUUGAAUAAUGAAAGCAAUGGAUAUAAUUAAAUUUCAUCUGACACGGGAAGAAUUCAGAGCAUGUCACCUCGGAACUGCCUCAUGCUAUGUUAUUCUCUAGGCAUCCAGAUAUUUGGUUGUGGCAGCCGAAUGAAAAUAGUUCAGAUUCGAUCAGUAAUGGCAGCAUCUAGAGGGACAUGGAUUAAUGCACUGAUGUAUCUGGAAUUAGGUUCUUAAAUAAAACAUCAUCGCUGGGUAUUUAUUUUCAUUUUAAAGGAAUACAUUGAAAUCGGAAAACAGAACUAGACUGACUUUUCCCGUCAAGACAUACUGAUUGGCAAACUUUUAUGGACAUCAGUUGAGGGCAGGCUCAGAAGUUCAGGUACAGAGAGUCACCUGCUGUUAUAGCUUGGGAGAUCAGAAAAGGUACAGUGAUAGCACGUCCAAGGCUCAGAUAAUCGUUAUUGUACUCUUAAGAAAAAGAUUAAGAAGUUACUGUUUUUUAUAAUCAGCAUAUAUGGUAAUAAUUACAGCUAAUAUCAAAAAUAAAUAGAAAUGUGUAACGUUAUUACUGCUAAUUAAAUACUAAUCAGAUACUUUCUAUGUAUGCAUACACUCUCUCAUAAACAUUUGUUAUAUAUGCAAAAAGCCCUGCUCUUAGAGCCACAAAUGGUUCCUGUUUCUACCUCUGGAAUUUAUUAUCACUUUGCUUUUGAGCAACAAAUAACUUAACAUCAGUCUUCUCAGAAAAAUGAGGAAACUAGGCGAAGUAAUGGCUGAAAUUCUACUUCAGACCCAUGUAUACACACACACACACACACACACACACACACACACACAUUCUUUCUACUUCUGAAAUAACUGCUAGGAGUCAAAUUUGAGGUGCAGCUGCGGCCUCCACCACAGCCACAGCAACACCAAAUCUGAGCUGCAUUUGAAGCCUGUGUUGCAGCUUGUGGCAAUGCCAGAUCCUUAACCCACCGAGCCAGGCCAGGGAUUGAACACAUAUCUUCACAGAGACAGCGUCAGGUCCUUUAACCCGCUGAGCCCCACAGUAGGAACUCCCUACACAACAUAUUAAAAUAAUACCAAUUAUUUUCCCUCCUUUAAGAUUUUGGUUUUUUUAACCAUGUACUAUACACUAAUUGAGCAAGGUGAUAGCACCCAGACCCUCAAGGAAGGAUAUUUUGCAAUUUGAGUAAAAAUGCUUUUUCUUCAUUCAUACUUUCAGAAUUAUAAAUGCGUAUUCUUGGAUAUCUUUGGGGGAAAAAAUCUUUGUUCAGUAUUUUCAGCCGGAGUUUUCACUGUUGUAUGUCCACUUAGUUAACAUCAGGUUCAUGUCCAUGGGUUCAUGGUGGAGGUACAGGUACAGAGACAUGAUCUGGUCCCUCCAGGAGUGCAUUUUCUUUAAAAAUGUCAUAAAAAAAGGGAGUAACAGAGUCAGCCUUUACCAGACUUAUCAUCCAUUUUUGCAUUAUUCAACUUUAGCUGAAAGAAAGAGAAGGAGAAAGAGAGGAUUCCUCAGAGUUACUUUGUGGUACUUUAUGUCUCGCUAAGAGGCCCUGUAUAUAACAGGAUAGGUUUGUCGUUAGUGGAGAAAAGCUGAGUUUAAAGGUUUUAGUUCCCUUAGGAUUCCCGUUGGUUACUUGCCUUCCCCCGACUAUGAUACAUACUCUUAAAAGAGGGGACUUUCUAUUUAUUAUUGUUUCCCCAGGGCUGAUCAUAAGCACGUGGUAACCAAUAAAUGCUGAGCCGAUACAUGAGAUAUUCUUGAUUGUAAGAGAUUAAAUACCAUCCUCCUGGUCUAGGGGAAUGAAACAUCCAUAUAUAUAGCAUAAUAAUUGUGUUUCCAUAUUCUGUCACCUUGGGUUUAGUAAUUAUUUUAGAUACUUUAUUUAUUUAUGUAUGUAUUUAUUUUUGUCUUUUUUUAGGGCUACACCCAUGGCAUAUGGGGGUUCCCAGGCUAGGCGUCUAACUGGAGCUGUUGC
rnacentral:lncRNA from 1 species